ACAGGGACGUAAACAAAUUAGUGCACUACAUUUGAGAGAAAUAAGCUUUUGAUACGUAUGGAACCUUUCUGAGAUCAUUUAUUUCAGUUCAUGAAACAUGGGACCAACACUUUACAUGUUGCGUUUAUAUUUUUGUUCAACAUAUGUAGCUCGUGAAUGGCCUCACAUUCCAGUAGGUGGCGGUGUAUGCAUCUUAAAUUGGGUGCGAUCCGCCAACACAAUCCCAAAGAAGAAGUCUUUUUGUCAUUGAGGCGGCAUGCUAGCAAAGUAGAGCUCAUUUUCAACUUUUGUUAAAACCCUACAUGCGUAUAUGUUUUGAGGAAAGGAGAUGAUUCGCAUGGAUGGAAAUGACCGAGACACAUUGAUGAACAUGUGGUUCAGCAUAUCUCAACGAGUCGGUUGUCCUUGGAAGUCAAGAGAUGCAUGCUGACAAUAGUACACACUUCUGUGGAGCCAAGAUCAUGGAUCCCUCUCACCUCUGCUGUAAUUGGCCUACUGGUGGUUCAGGAUAUUUUAACAAGUCAAUGUCCUUGAAGUCACAUGAUGGGAGCCAUUGAGACCAGAUGCAUGAUGACAAUGAAGUGGCAAAGCAUAGAAAUAGGAUGACAUAGAUUCUAUUUCCGUGGCUCCAAGAUCCAUGGAUCCCUCUCACCUCUGCUGUAAUUGGCCUACCUGUGGGUCGGCAUCUCAUCGUGCCCGAUGUCCUUGAUGAACUCGCAUGAUGGGUCGUCUGUUGAGACCAGAUGCAUGAUGACAAUGAAGGGGCAAAGCAUAGAAAUAUAUUAUCACAUUCGAUUUCUGUUAGAAAUGGGUUCCUCUCACCGCUGCUGUAAUUAGCCUACUGGUGGUUCAGGAUAUUUUAACAAGUCAAUGUCCUUGAAGUCAGGUGCGGCAUUGAGACCAGAUGCAUGAAGGGCCAAAGCAUAGAAAUAGAAUGACAGAUUCUAUUUCCGUGUCGCCAACAUCCAUGGAUCCCUCUCACCUCUGUUGUAAUUGGCCUACCUGGCUUAACCAAGACAAACACGGACGACCCUGGGCCAAUCGUGCUCCUCCAUAUGGGACUCUCAAUCACGGCCGGAUGUGAUACAGCCUGGAUUCGAACCAAGGACUGUAGUGACGCUUCUUGCAUUGAGUGCCUUAGACCGCUGUGUGUGUGUAACUAUUUAACUGUACUAGAAUGCUUAAAAGCCCCCUAAAAUGCUUAUCUGUAUUUAUUAAUUUAAAAAAAUGGCAAGGAAAAUAUUGGAUAUCGGCAAAUUGUCAUCGGUGCAUCACUAAUGAGAGCUACUAAAACAAUUAUUUAUUUUUUAUAGCGUUCAAAUUGGCACAUUAUUCUCCUCUGCAACUCUUCCACGGGAUUUGUUGAUAACUGGUCAAAUAAUGGGUCAUGAAGGUAUUUUUAAAAAUGUUACACUCAAUAGGCUUAUUAGAAAUGUGCAUUGAAGUUAUCAAUGUCAAUGUUUAAAUCAGAUAAAAUGAGGUCUGGUGGAAACUAACACAUUUGAGUUGAAUUCUCCUUUAACUAUGCAUUAAGCAAGAAAGGAAUGUCAGUCUAGCUAUGUUUCUGCUGUUAGGCCUGCUGCAGCACAGUUUGCAAAUCAAUGGCAACCCAAUUGAUACUACAAAUCAUAUCUCUUUGUCAGGUAAGCCUACUAUGCAGUUACCAUUUUAAUUGGUUUUGGGGGAAAGUCUGCCUACCCAGAAGACGGCUAUCAUUAGCGCGCGUCUACCCGCAAGACGGCUAUCAUUAGCGUGCGUCUACCCGCAAGACGGCUAUCAUUAGCGCGCGUCUACCCGCAAGACUGCUAUCAUUAGCGCGCGUCUACCCGCAAGACGGCUAUCAUUGGCGCGCGUCUACCCGCAAGACGGCUAUCAUUGGCGGGCGUCUACCCGCAAGGCGGCUAUCAUUGGCGCGCGUCUACCCGCAAGGCGGCUAUCAUUGGCGCGCGUCUACCCGCAAGGCGGCUAUCAUUGGCGCGCGUCUACCCGCAAGGCGGCUAUCAUUGGCGCGCGUCUACCCGCAAGGCGGCUAUCAUUGGCGCGCGUCUACCCGCAAGGCGGCUAUUCGCAUCCCUAACUGGAUAUAUACGGAGUGCUAGACAAAUGCGCACACCAAACAGACAGACUGGGGCAAUAUUGCUGGAAAUGAAUUGGCAGCUAUUGUUACGUUUGUCUUUUUAAGCCGAUGGUUGCUACCCAGGGGUGGGAUAAUGUCAAUGUGGUGUUGAUUGGAUAGCAGCCGGGAGCUUUGUUUAUGACCGUUUGCGAUAGAACGCAAAAAAAUAAAAGCAGUGAAGGAGCAGAAUCAAACUAACUGUUGAUGUUUUGACUGAUGUAUAUUCAUAGAACUAGAUUAAAUGUUAUGUAUAGUGGUGUAUUGUCAUCACGAUAACCAUUUGUCAAAGAUUCAGUGAUGUAUGUUAUUAUCCACUUCCUGUAGCAAGCAACAAUGUAGCAAGCAACAAACGCUACAACCAUGAAAAAUGUGUUCAUGACAGAAUGACCUUGCAGGGGGCUCUGUAACAACUUGACUCUCAGCCAAGACCAUAUCACAUUUGUGUGACUGUAUUUCUGGAACAUGCUGUUCUCUUGGUGUAAACUAAUGUGGCAUGAUGUCAGAACUGUAGUUUUGCUGUACAAUUGUUCAUGACUCAUCAAUAAAACUAGUAAACAAA